AAAUGCGAUAAGUAAUGUGAAUUGCAGAAUUCAGUGAAUCAUCGAAUCUUUGAACGCACCUUGCGCUCCUUGGUAUUCCUUGGAGCAUGCCUGUUUGAGUAUCAUGAAAUCUUCAAAGUAAAUCUUUUGUUAACUCAAUUGGCUUCUACUUUGGUAUUGGAGGUCUUUGCAGCUUCACACCUGCUCCUCUUUGUUCAUUAGCUGGAUCUCAGUGUUAUGCUUGGUUCCACUCGGCGUGAUAAGUUAUCUAUCGCUGAGGACACUGUAAAAGGUGGCCAAGGUAAAUGCAGAUGAACCGCUUCUAAUAGUCCAUUGACUUGGACAAUACUUUUAUGAUCUGAUCUCAAAUCAGGUAGGACUACCCGCUGAACUUUAGC
rnacentral:misc_RNA from 1 species